rnacentral:rRNA from 1 species
AACAAACGCUGGCGGCGUGCCUAACACAUGCAAGUCGUACGAGAAAGGGUCCUUCGGGGCCUGAGUAAAGUGGCGCACGGGUGAGUAACGCGUGGAUAAUCUGCCCUUCAGUUGGGAAUAACCAAUCGAACGGUGGGAUAAUACCGAAUAAUGCUGUGAGACCUCGGUUGAUCAGCCAAAGAUAGCGUCUGCUUGCAAGCCCCCGCUGAAGGAUGAGUCCGCGUACCAUUAGCUAGUUGGUAGGGUAAUGGCCUACCAAGGCGACGAUGGUUAGCUGGUCUGAGAGGAUGAUCAGCCACACUGGAACUGAGACACGGUCCAGACUCCUACGGGAGGCAGCAGUGAGGAAUCUUGCGCAAUGGGGGCAACCCUGACGCAGCAACGCCGCGUGAGUGAGGAAGGUCUUCGGAUCGUAAAGCUUUGUCGGAUGGAAAGAACCGCAUAGGGGUAAACAGCCCCUGUGUCUGACGGUACCAUCAAAGGAAGCACCGGCUAACUCCGUGCCAGCCGCCGCGGUAACAC